rnacentral:tRNA from 1 species
AUUUAAAUAGUUUAAUUAAAAAUUUUGAUUUGUGGGGUCAAGGAUGUAUUAUAUUACUUUGAAUA